rnacentral:rRNA from 1 species
UACGAAGGGGGGCUAGCGUUGCUCGGAAUCACUGGGCGUAAAGCGCACGUAGGCGGAUUGCUAAGUCAGGGGGUGAAAUCCUGGAGCUCAACUCCAGAACUGCCUUUGAUACUGGUGAUCUUGAGUCCGGGAGAGGUGAGUGGAACUGCGAGUGUAGAGGUGAAAUUCGUAGAUAUUCGCAAGAACACCAGUGGCGAAGGCGGCUCACUGGCCCGGUACUGACGCUGAGGUGCGAAA